AACGAACGCUGGCGGCAUGCCUAACACAUGCAAGUCGAACGAGACCCUCGGGUCUAGUGGCGCACGGGUGCGUAACGCGUGGGAACCUGCCCUUAGGUUCGGAAUAACUCCCCGAAAGGGGUGCUAAUACCGGAUAAUGUCUUCGGACCAAAGAUUUAUCGCCUUUGGAUGGGCCCGCGUUGGAUUAGCUAGUUGGUAGGGUAAAAGCCUACCAAGGCGACGAUCCAUAGCUGGUCUGAGAGGAUGAUCAGCCACACUGGGACUGAGACACGGCCCAGACUCCUACGGGAGGCAGCAGUGGGGAAUAUUGGACAAUGGGCGAAAGCCUGAUCCAGCAAUGCCGCGUGAGUGAUGAAGGCCUUAGGGUUGUAAAGCUUUUUUACCCGGGAUGAUAAUGACAGUACCGGGAGAAUAAGCUCCGGCUAACUCCGUG
rnacentral:rRNA from 1 species